GAAGAAUUCAUGGUACAAACAACUUUUAAAAUCUUUCAUUUACUAGAACACAUUUUAAUAGCACUAUUACACAAUAUGAAACGAGACCUGAAGAAAUGAAGGUUAAAAUUUCAACUUACCAAACUGUAAUUUCUUCAUAACAGCCACAUAUUUUUCUUCAAGCGAUUUCAAUACUGAUAAAGGUUUGGGUUUCAUAGCCACCUUCUUUGAACAUUCACCUAGUUUUUUUUCUGUUAUUUAAUAUUUCAAGAUAAAUAAUAUAAGCAUACAUUUUAAAAGAUCAAAACAAAAACAGUUUCUACAGUUCAAAGUUCGAAUUCUAAAAAAUUAACAAACUCUUCACAAUUAUCUUCCUGGUGUAUCAGUUUAAGUAUAAGAGAUUUUUAUGUCAUAAACAUAACUAAUAGGGCUAAAACCCUUAUCAACUUUAAAGUUUAUGUUCUUAAAUUCUGUAAAAUUAGUUUGACCCAAUCAGGCAAGACAGCAGACGUAAAACAAUAGAUAAUACACUGCUAAGACAUGAAAAUGCUAAUUUAAACUGAAUUCUCACAACCAGUCUAAAUGUACUCUUUCCUAUCCAGUACAAUGGCAUUUUUCAAUUUCACAACUACCAACAGGAAGAAGAGAAGUUCAUGACAUGUCUGUCUGCCUGCUCAAUCUAGUGUGAGUGAUCAUACAAAGAAGAGGUAAGUAUUUCAAAAUUAGAGACUAUUCACGAUUAACUUGAAAGCGUGGCAACAAAAUUUUUAGGUAAAUGAGCUUGCUUGCAAAGCAUUAACACAGAGAAAAGAGAGAGGUAGUUUUCAGAAGUAAAUGAAACAUCUCUGGGUCAAAAGAAAAGCAGCAAGGACAGUUCUGUACCUUGAUUUGCCUGCCGUAAACUGGUAGUGGCUGCAUGCACAAUCUCAGCAGUCUUCUGGAUGUCCGGUACCAACAGUGUAAGUCCUUCUGGUUCUUGAUCAGAUGCAUCUGGUUUUACUCCUGUUUUAACAUUUUCCCUUUUAGAUCUGAAACGGUUGGUGUAGGUAUCAACACACGUCUUCAUUUUGGCUAAUAAUGUACCAACAGAAGUCUGGCACUCUGACUGUUCUUCUUCCUCUUCACCAUUCUCUGUAGAAAGAGGCAACAGUAGGGGCACCAUGGAUGUACAAGAAGCAAUGGCCCGGAGCAAUUCCAGCAGAGCUCGAUAGAGUGGCACAUGUCUUGCCAUAUCAAGAACUGUAAAAGGAAAGGGAAAAGCAUAAAAUGAGAACAUGUGUGCAAUAUACAAGUCCACAGCCAUGUAGCUUCUACUCAGAUCUUAAGAUUGAUUGGUUACUUGGUAAAUGAGCUAAUGCUGAUGUUUAUGAAGCACCACGUGCUAAGUAUAAUAAUCAUUAGUUCAAAUGUUUUAUUUAUUUUUUUGAGAGAGAGAUUGAGCGCGCAUGUGUGCGGUGCUUGAGGGAGAGGUGAAUCUAAAGCAGGUUCCAUGCUCAGGGUGGAGCCUGAUGCUUAACUGACCUAGCCACCCAAGCACCCCUCCAAUGUUUUCUUAAAAGCACAUGUAUUGAAGAAUAAAUGCCCCACUCUAAGAACAUAUACCACAUCUACAAUUUUUAUAAGUUGUUUUGCUAGGUUUUGUAGUUUUCUUCCAACUGGAAUUUACUUUUGUGAUCAUGUGAGAUAAAGACUUUAACAGGGGCACCUACGUGGUUCAGUCGGUUAAGCGGCUGACUCAUUUUAGCUCAGGUCAUGAUCUCAUGGUUUGUGAGACUGAGCCCUGUAUAUGGGGCUCUGCACUGACAGUGCAAACUGUAACUGUUUUUUUUAAGUGUAUUUAUUUAUUUUGAGAGAGAGAGAGAGAGAGAGAGAGAGAAUGCCUGCAGAGAGUGAGAGAGCAUCUCCAAAAAGGCUCCACCCAGCAUAGAGCCUGACUCAGGCUCAAUCCCACAACAGCGAGACUCUUUUUUUUUUUUUUUAAAGUAAGCUCUACACUCAGUGUGGGGCUUGAACUCAUGACCCUGAGAUCAAGGGUUGCGUGUUCUACUAAGCCGGCCAGAUACCCUAACAACUUUUUUCCCAUCCCAGUUACUGAAUAAAGUUAUGCCAUAAAUAUUCACUGAAAACAUGCUGCUUGACAGGCUGAGAAUACAGCAGUGAAGAAAAUAAACAAAAAUCCCUGCUCUCAUGUAGCUUACAUUCUAUGUAGAGGGCAAAUAAGUAAAAAAAAAUUUUCAGAUGCUAACAGGGACUCUGACUGCUACACACACAAAGACUGAAACCGGGAAGGAGAAGUGGAGGAGUACCUACUGGAGGCAGAAAUUGGUUCACAGCCCACAGACCUAUAC
ensembl:lncRNA